rnacentral:rRNA from 1 species
AUGCGUAGGAAUCUACCUAGUAGUAUGGAAUAGCCAUUAGAAAUGAUGGGUAAUACUGUAUAAUCCCUGCGGGGGAAAGAUUUAUCGCUAUUAGAUGAGCCUACGUUAGAUUAGCUAGUUGGUAAGGUAAUGGCUUACCAAGGCUAUGAUCUAUAGCUGGUCUGAGAGGACGAUCAGCCACACUGGAACUGAGAUACGGUCCAGACUCCUACGGGAGGCAGCAGUGGGGAAUAUUGGACAAUGGGCGAAAGCCUGAUCCAGCUAUGCCGCGUGAGUGAAGAAGGCCUUCGGGUUGUAAAACUCUUUC